rnacentral:rRNA from 1 species
ACUCCUACGGGAGGCAGCAGUGGGGAAUAUUGCACAAUGGGCGCAAGCCUGAUGCAGCCAUGCCGCGUGUAUGAAGAAGGCCUUCGGGUUGUAAAGUACUUUCAGCAGUGAGGAAGGCAGGUACGUUAAUAGCGUGCUUGUUUGACGUUAGCUGCAGAAGAAGCACCGGCUAACUCCGUGCCAGCAGCCGCGGUAAUACGGAGGGUGCGAGCGUUAAUCGGAAUUACUGGGCGUAAAGCGCAUGCAGGUGGUUCGUUAAGUCAGAUGUGAAAGCCCGGGGCUCAACCUCGGAAUUGCAUUUGAAACUGGCGGACUAGAGUACUGUAGAGGGGGGUAGAAUUUCAGGUGUAGCGGUGAAAUGCGUAGAGAUCUGAAGGAAUACCGGUGGCGAAGGCGGCCCCUGGACAGAUACUGACACUCAGAUGCGAAAGCGUGGGGAGCAAACAGGAUUAGAUACCCUGGUAGGAUAGCG